CAAUCGGCCCUUUUCAGGACCACACAAUUAAAACCAAAACAAAGAU
rfam:Lasius niger Lnig_2.1_11846, whole genome shotgun sequence.